AUUGACGCUGGCGGAAUGCUUUAGUCAUGCAAGUCGAACGUGCAGCACGGGCACAACCCUGGUGGCGAGUGGCGAACGGGUGAGUAAUACAUCGGAACGUGCCCAGUCGUGCGGGAUAACUGUAGCGAAAGUUACGCUAAUGCCGCAUACGAUCUACGGAUGAAAGCGGGGGACCGUAAGGCCUCGCGCGAUUGGAGCGGCCGAUGUCAGAUUAGGUAGUUGGUGAGGUAAAGGCUCACCAAGCCGACGAUCUGUAGCUGGUCUGAGAGGACGACCAGCCACACUGGGACUGAGACACGGCCCAGACUCCUACGGGAGGCAGCAGUGGGGAAUUUUGGACAAUGGGCGCAAGCCUGAUCCAGCCAUUCCGAGUGCAGGACGAAGGCCUUCGGGUUGUAAACUGCUUUUGUACGGAACGAAAAGGCUCUGGUUAAUACCCGGGGCUCAUGACGGUACCGUAAGAAUGAGCAUC
rnacentral:rRNA from 1 species